AAAAGGGAAACCUGUCAGCAAGAUGGAGACUCUCCUGAAGGGCCCCUAACUGUUGUCGCCGUUACGGAGGAAGCUUUGUAAGCCCAAGUUCGUUUCCCAAAGUUGUUAAAGGAGUUGGCCCAGGGUACGGAGGACUAGAGUUGUCCUGCCCUUCUCCCUUAUCUUGUGCCACCGGAAGACAGGUUUCGGGGGUUGGGAGGAAAGAAGCCCAGACAACCAGGCCAAGCAAAGAGCACAUAUCCAGCCGCCUGCGAAGGCCAAGUCGCUUCGUGCCUGCUCGGAAUAGUGGUGUAACGUGAUCAGCCGGGCCUGGGACCCAAGGACCUGGACUGAGGACCGAGCUGAGACAAGAGGCAGUGUGCCGCAUUUGGGUUAAGGCCGGAACCGCAGCGGCAGCCUCCGCCUCCACCCCCCCACUCCGCAGCAGCCGCUCUGGGCUCGUUUGACUGCCCGCAAAGUCGGUCCCCCAUCCCCCAGGUUUUCCGGACUGGCUCCAGAUUCUACGUCAAAGAUCCUGGGGUCCCAGAAGGAGUUGCAGAGUGGAACCUCAGGUGCUGCUUGGAGUAGAGACCCUGACCUAGGAGUGCCGGUGCCAGCCUCCCUGGAGCAGCGUAGAGAGAAAGUCCAGAAGCUGAAUGAAGAAGGCAGCAGCCGCCUGCGUCCCACGCCCGCGGCAGCGCCCGGAGCCCUGCGGGGCGCCCUCCCCCUCCCAGCGCUCCCUCCGGAGUGGGCCCUUUGUCCCGCUGGCUGCUGGCCGAGUUAGGAGCCCAGCUAUCCCCAACUGGACAGCGACGCCAUGAUUAAUGGGUCAGCCAAGAAGUUGGCACAAGGAGGGGCCUGUGCAACCCCCCUCCUCCCUCCUCCGCCCUCAGCUGCUCGAGCUGUCAAGGGCCCUGGACCCUCCUCCGCCCAAUACUGGACCUGAAAAGACUAAGCAGCCUGUUAUCGAGUUGUGGCUUAAAGUACUAUGUUUUGGGGUACUGUGCUCAAGUGUGUGUCUAUCGGGAUUUGUGUAUAUAUUUAUGUACCUGUGUAUAUAUAUGUGUGAUUGUAGGUCUGUUGGGCAAGGUGUGUGCUUGGCUGUUUGAAUACUGUGUCUCGACUGCACGGACCAGUGAACCUCAGAAAAUGUUUAACUUUGCACUUCUUAUGCAGACCUGGGGACCCAUCUGUGUCGGAGGGCAUUCUAGAAGCCCAAGGUUUGAGGUAUGGACAGCUCCCCAACCGCACAAACAGGGUACCCAUCAGCCGGAAGAGUUGGGCAGCUGGAGCCUCAGAGAUUCAGCAAGGGUCCUGUGGGAAUCUCUAAGAAGAGAUUUCUGUCUCAACUCCAAGAAUGACGCUGAAUCCCACAUUCCUGGAGGGGUAAUACCAGCCCAACUGAAAGAGAAAAUGGAAAGAGGAUCUGAGUAGAGGGAUGACCAUACCUGGAAGUGCAAGAGAUGUUUAAGCGUGGGACUUCGCUGGCUUUGAAGACGAGUCUAUCACAGCAUUUAACCGUUCUGAUCACUUUCUCUCAAAGGGGCUUAAAUAACUGGGCUUGCUAAACACAUUAGCUAAGACCAGUGAUCCUGGACAGCCGAGCACCUACUUACACACCCGGGGAUCAGGGUCGAGGUCUAAAAGGAGGGUAAAUGGAGGCGGUUGGCAUGGGCUGGUGAUGGGGGAGGGAGGAUGUCUAGGAAGCAGGCAGGCAGCCAGAUAUCUCCUCUAUGGGUUCGACUCACAUAGAGCGCAUUGAGAUCCAGGAAAGCACCAACAAGAGAGAUCCAAGAGACCCGGGGCGAGACAGCUCCCUACUCUCCUCUACUGGUCAGCAGCUAGGCUCAAGUAGGGGCCACCCAAGGGCUAGUGAAACUGUGGUUCGGCCUCCGCCCCUUUCCACUCUUCGUCUCUGCUCCUCCUUUCUUAGUUGCACCCGCAGUGGUUCCAGCAAGGGCAGCGCGGCCGGUGUGUUUUCUCCAGCUCAUAAAAUCUCUAACACAUUUUUUUUCCAGGACUUUUACUGCUCAGCGGAGAUGAGCAGUGACAUUCCUGUCUCCCCUUUCAUAAAUAUUACAUCUUCCCAAUGCAAUUACAGGAAACGGAGCAGCGGAGUGUUUACUAAAUAAGAUUAUGGAAUAAUGCUAAUGUAUUUCAUGUCGGUGUCUGACACCAGACAAACUCCCUAUUAAUAACCACUCAAUGAGGCGCGCAGGCUCUCACCGGGGGCCGCUGCAGGGGACCUCCGGCUUUCUGCGUGGGAAGUGGCCACUUCUUGGCUAUGCACUAUAGCGGAGCUGGAGGGGCCCGGAGCAGCCUUCAGCCUGGUCCUGUGAGCUCCUGGAAUGCCCUUACCAGAAGCUAGAGCAAAUUACCCCCUCGCCAGUCCUGCGGCUGAAGAUCAAGGGUCUCAUCCAUCCAUCCCUGGGGUCACUCGGCACAUUAUUUGGACUGAGAUAUGCCCACUCCUAUCCCCCUCCCACAUAGGAUCCAGGCCCAGGUUUUCGCCACUGUUACUUGUCUGUAGCCUGAUUUCUUUUAGCCGAAGGCCGAUUUCUCUUCCAUUUGGGAGUAGGGUGUGGGAAGCCGAAGGAGGACAGGGCCACAAAUCACCAAAAAAGAACUGAUAGCUAGGGUUCAAGGUCUACUGUGCCAGCCCCCUGGCCAAAGGUGAAAUAUUAUAGACUGAGGGGUCUUUUCCUGCCUUCAAAUAAAAAGAUGCUCCAUGCACACGGAUCUAAGUAAUGAGGGACCAGGGAGGGGUGGGAGAGCCUGCAGGCUCAGCAAAUCCUGCACUGACUCUGAGGCCUCUCCUAUCCCCUUCCUCCGAUGUCAGCAAACCUUGGGCAGAGAAACCUCUCAGCCUCUCAGCCGCCUUAAGGAAGGAAGAGGCUUCCACCAUCCUCGGGCCUUUGAGGGGAGGGGAUACUUCACGAUUUCUACCGUCUCUCCACCUGCCCCUCACACACGGGGGUGAGGGAAGAAGAUUAGCCAAUGUGUAUGGGUCAGUGUGGAGAGAAGGAAGAAGAGGCGGGGAGCAAGGAACACCCCAAACUCUGCCAAUCUUCGUGCCCUUGUUCACCAGGUGCCCUUUAGUCUGGAUGUCUUUCUGAGCUUCUACCCCUCCCCUCCACCCUCAUUCUGCACACUCAGCCUACCCUCUUCCCCAAGUGUCUUAGAUCGCCGUGGGGAAACAGAUCCAUAUGAAUUAUGAACUAGUCUGUUCUCUUCAGAUGCACGGAGACUUCCAACAAGGCUCUCCUUUAAGAUGCAUCAUGUCUUCCUUUCCUAUGUUUCUUGGUUUUCUAUUUUUUUCCAUCUCUCUCAUCUCUCUUCCAUCCUGCCUUUUCUCCUGGUUCUAUCUUACAGGAUGGCACCUCCUCCAACCCACAGGUCCCCACCCCUAUACACAUCUGUCCACACAAAUAUACAAAGGUGUGUGUACACAAGCACCUGCAUACACAUAGAAACAGAAAAAAGCACAGGCAUAUCUAAGUCUCCUCUAGCUUUAAAUUUUGUGGUUAUACAACAAUAUGCACACAAGUACACCCAGACACAAAUACACACACACACUCGUGAACACAGGAGCACAGGCAAAUAUGAGCACUAGCAAAGCCUCUUCUUGAAACAGCUAUUGAGGCCAAGCCAAGACUUUCCAGCUCUGGCUGAGAAUUGAGCAGUCCUGGUCUCUGGGGGAAGUCCUAUUCCCCUUUGUGGGAAUUAUGUGUAUCAAAUUUAACAUAUAUUUAGAGUGUGUUUUGAUAUGUGUAAAUCUAAAGUUACGGGAUUCUAAAAGUCAUUCCCUUGUAUGCACCUUAAUAAUGAUUGAUCUGAGAGAAUAAAUGAGAAACAGGUUGGAGCUGGUACACUGAUCUGAGAGGGGCCAGAUUUGAUGUAGGAAUUGUCAGCCAUCUCUGCUCAGAAAAGGAACUGAGAGCCGGAAGUACUCCUAGGACAACCACAACCACAACCACAACAAUUAGUAACUUUAUAAAUAAAAAAAUUUUAAAUUAAAUUUCAUUUUAUUUUCAUGUCUAUCUUUUCUCCCUCCUACCUUCCACCCCCCACCCCCACUGAGAAAGUAAGAAAAGCAAAAGCUGUGCUUCAAACAUGUAGAGUAAAAAAUUCCAGUAGUGAUGUGCUACACCCCUCCCCCACCAGUGGUCUCAAUGUACUUUGAGUCCAUCACCUCUCUUUCUGGAAAUUGGCAGUAUAUUUCAUCAUGACUCCUCUGGAGUUGCAGUUGGUACUUGCAUAGAUCAUGGUUCCUAAAUAUUUCAAAGUUGUUUGUCUUUACAAUAUUGUUGUUAUUAUAUUGUUAUUGUGUUGUAUUGUAAAUUGAAGAAAUAGUAACUUAAUGGGAUAAUGGGGGAGGGGGAACUGGGCUAAUUUCCGUUAGAGAUUUAUGCUGUUGUUGAUAAUGAUGUUGUUACAUAUUCUAGUUAUUUGUGCUGGUAUCUUAGCUCCUUACUAGACAGUAAACUCUGGAAGGGGAGGGACUACUACCCUGUCUUAGCUCAACUUUGUAUGUCCUCUGGAAUCCUGUAGAUACUAAGUAAAUGUUCAUUGUAGUUUUCAUUUCUUAUAAACACUGGUUUUUCCUUUUCUUUGUAU